rnacentral:rRNA from 1 species
UACAGAGGGCGCGAGCGUUGUCCGGAAUCACUGGGCGUAAAGGGCGCGUAGGCGGCGCGGUAAGCGUGCGGUGAAAGCCCGGGGCUCAACCCCGGGUCGGCCGUGCGGACUGCCGGGCUGGAGCACUGUAGAGGCAGGUGGAAUUCCGGGUGUAGCGGUGGAAUGCGUAGAGAUCCGGAAGAACACCGGUGGCGAAGGCGGCCUGCUGGGCAGUAGCUGACGCUGAGGUGCGAAAGCGUGGGGAGCAAACAGG